rnacentral:rRNA from 1 species
UACGUAGGGUGCAAGCGUGUCCGGAAUUAUUGGGCGUAAAGAGCUCGUAGGCGGUCUGUCGCGUCGGAUGUGAAAACCCAGGGCUCAACCCUGGGCCUGCAUUCGAUACGGGCAGACUAGAGUUCGGUAGGGGAGACUGGAAUUCCUGGUGUAGCGGUGAAAUGCGCAGAUAUCAGGAGGAACACCGGUGGCGAAGGCGGGUCUCUGGGCCGAAACUGACGCUGAGGUGCGAAAGCGUGGGGAGCAAACAGG